rnacentral:rRNA from 1 species
CAGUAGCCGCGGUAAUACAGAGGGUGCGAGCGUUAAUCGGAUUUACUGGGCGUAAAGCGUGCGUAGGCGGCCUCUUAAGUCGGAUGUGAAAUCCCUGAGCUUAACUUAGGAAUUGCAUUCGAUACUGGGAAGCUAGAGUAUGGGAGAGGAUGGUAGAAUUCCAGGUGUAGCGGUGAAAUGCGUAGAGAUCUGGAGGAAUACCGAUGGCGAAGGCAGCCAUCUGGCCUAAUACUGACGCUGAGGUACGAAAGCAUGGGGAGCAAACAGGAUUAGAUACCCCGGUAGUCCCUGUCUCUUAUAC